GAUUUGAGAGGAUGAUCAGCCACAUUGGGACUGAGACACGGCCCAAACUCCUACGGGAGGCAGCAGUGGGGAAUCUUGCACAAUGGAGGAAACUCUGAUGCAGCGAUGCCGCGUGAGUGAAGAAGGCCUUUGGGUUGUAAAGCUCUUUCGUCGGGGAAGAAAAUGACUGUACCCGAAUAAGAAGGUCCGGCUAACUUCGUGCCAGCAGCCGCGGUAAUACGAAGGGACCUAGCGUAGUUCGGAAUUACUGGGCUUAAAGAGUUCGUAGGUGGUUGAAAAAGUUGGUGGUGAAAUCCCAGAGCUUAACUCUGGAACUGCCAUCAAAACUUUUCAGCUAGAGUAUGAUAGAGGAAAGCAGAAUUUCUAGUGUAGAGGUGAAAUUCGUAGAUAUUAGAAAGAAUACCAAUUGCGAAGGCAGCUUUCUGGAUCAUUACUGACGCUGAGGAACGAAAGCAUGGGUAGCGAAGAGGAUUAGAUACCCUCGUAGUCCAUGCCGUAAACGAUGUGUGUUAGACGUUGGAAAUUUAUUUUCAGUGUCGCAGCGAAAGCGAUAAACACACCGCCUGGGGAGUACGACCGCAAGGUUAAAACUCAAAUGAAUUGACGGGGACCCGCACAAGUAGUGGAGCAUGUGGUUUAAUUCGAAGAUACGCGCAGAACCUUACCAACACUUGACAUGUUCGUCGCGACUUUAAGAGAUUAAAGUUUUCGGUUCGGCCGGACGAAACACAGGUGCUGCAUGGCUGUCGUCAGCUCGUGUCGUGAGAUGUUGGGUUAAGUCCCGCAACGAGCGCAACCCUCACUUUUAGUUGCCAUCAUUAAGUUGGGCACUCUGAAAGAACUGCCAGUGAUAAGCUGGAGGAAGGUGGGGAUGACGUCAAGUCCUCAUGGCCCUUACGUGUUGGGCUACACACGUGCUACAAUGGUAUCUACAACAGGAAGCAAA
rnacentral:rRNA from 1 species